UACGUAGGUGGCAAGCGUUGUCCGGAAUUACUGGGCGUAAAGAGCGCGCAGGCGGCUGGUCAAGUCCGAUGUGAAAGCUUCCGGCUUAACUGGGGAAAUUGCAUCGGAAACUGAUCGGCUUGAAGGUGGGAGAGGGUAGGUGGAAUUCCCGGUGGUAGUGGUGGAAAUGACGUAGAUAUCGGGAGGAACACCUGUGGCGAAAGCGGCGCACUGGACCAUAACUGACGCUGAGGCGACGAAAGGCUAGGGGAGCAAACAGG
rnacentral:rRNA from 1 species